AACGCGAAGAACCUUACCUGGACUCGAAAUUUUGUCGACCGUCUCAGAGAUGAGGCUUUCCCGCAAGGGACGGCAGAAUAGGUGCUGCAUGGCUGUCGUCAGCUCGUGUCGUGAGAUGUUGGGUUAAGUCCCGCAACGAGCGCAACCCUCGCCUUCAGUUGCCAUCACGUUUGGGUGGGCACUCUGAAGGAACUGCCGGUGACAAGCCGGAGGAAGGUGGGGAUGACGUCAAGUCCUCAUGGCCCUUAUGUCCUGGGCUACACACGUGCUACAAUGGCGGUGACAGCGGGAAGCCAGGUCGCGAGGCCGAGCUGAUCCCGAAAAGCCGUCUCAGUUCGGAUUGCACUCUGCAACUCGGGUGCAUGAAGGUGGAAUCGCUAGUAAUCGCGGAACAGCAUGCCGCGGUGAAUACGUUCCCGGGCCUUGUACACACCGGAGUA
rnacentral:rRNA from 1 species